UACGUAGGCAGCGAGCGUUGUUCGGAGUUACUGGGCGUAAAGGGUGUGUAGGCGGUUCUUUAAGUUUGGUGUGAAAUCUCCCGGCUCAACCGGGAGGGUGCGUCGAAUACUGAGGGACUAGAGUACGGGAGAGGAAAGUGGAAUUCCUGGUGUAGCGGUGAAAUGCGCAGAUAUCAGGAGGAACACCAAUUGCGAAGGCAGCUCGCUGGAACGUAACUGACGCUGAGACGCGAAAGCGUGGGGAGCAAACAGG
rnacentral:rRNA from 1 species